UACGUAGGCAGCGAGCGUUGUUCGGAAUUACUGGGCGUAAAGAGUGUGUAGGCGGUGCUCUAAGUUUGGUGUGAAGUCUCCCGGCUCAACCGGGAGGGUGCAUCGAAAACUGGAGUGCUCGAGGGUGGGAGAGGUAAGCGGAAUUCCUGGUGUAGCGGUGAAAUGCGUAGAUAUCAGGAGGAACACCUGUGGUGUAGACAGCUUACUGGACCACUUCUGACGCUGAGACACGAAAGCGUGGGUAGCAAACAGG
rnacentral:rRNA from 1 species